rnacentral:rRNA from 1 species
UACAGAGGGUGCGAGCGUUAAUCGGAAUUACUGGGCGUAAAGCGCACGUAGGCGGCUUGGUAUGUCGGGUGUGAAAUCCCCGGGCUCAACCUGGGAACUGCAUCCGAGACUGCAUUGCUAGAGUAUGGGAGAGGGAAGCGGAAUUUCUGGUGUAGCAGUGAAAUGCGUAGAUAUCAGAAGGAACAUCAGUGGCGAAGGCGGCUUCCUGGACCAAUACUGACGAUCAGGUGCGAAAGCGUGGGGAGCAAACAGG